AUUGAACGCUGGCGGCAUGCCUUACACAUGCAAGUCGAACGGUAACGGGCCUUCGGGUGCCGACGAGUGGCGAACGGGUGCGUAAUACAUCGGAACGUGCCCGAUCGUGGGGGAUAACGAGGCGAAAGCUUUGCUAAUACCGCAUACGAUCUACGGAUGAAAGCAGGGGACCGCAAGGCCUUGCGCGGACGGAGCGGCCGAUGGCAGAUUGGGUAGUUGGUGGGAUAAAAGCUUACCAAGCCGACGAUCUGUAGCUGGUCUGAGAGGAUGAUCAGCCACACUGGGACUGAGACACGGCCCAGACUCCUACGGGAGGCAGCAGUGGGGAAUUUUGGACAAUGGGCGCAAGCCUGAUCCAGCCAUGCCGCGUGCAGGAUGAAGGCCUUCGGGUUGUAAACUGCUUUUGUACGGAACGAAAAGCCUUCUUUUAAUACAGGAGGGUCAUGACGGUACCGUAAGAAUAAGCACCGGCUAACUACGUG
rnacentral:rRNA from 1 species